GUUCCCCCCGCCCCCUCCGACUGCUAGUGGAAAGGGAGCGGGGCGCUGUCAGCCAAGACGCGGCUUGGGGGCGCCAGGCAGCCUGGGACAAGGGGAGAUCUCAACUCCAGGCUUGUGCGAGAUUAAAUGGUGGAAGACGCUCCGGGGAACCUAAGGUGGCUCUGGACCGGUUAUAGGCUUUAACUGAGCAUCCAAUUAAGUAUCGGAGCCGUGGAACUAAGGGACUUGAGGAGAGGGAACUGAGGUCUGCGUGGGGCUGAGGGUGAGUAGCUUUAAAGUCAUUUGGGGACAGAAGCAGGAACAGAACUUGGACUUGGAGCACUCAAAUCCCAUUUGUCUGAAAGCUACUGACCCUCUGGUCUCUCACACCUUGUUCUGGAAAGGAAAUGUAAUACAAUUUUUAAAAACAUGUUUAAUAAAUCCCAAACGUAGUGCAUUAAAGAUGCCUAAAACUGGACUAGAUCUCCUUUUUAGGAUAUUUCUUCCCAUGAUCCUCUAGAGAAGCCGAUAAGAAAGGGAUCCAAACCGCAAAGUAAAUGAUAUUAUAAUGAAGCCAAGCUCCUGAGGAUGUAGACCCUUUGUUACUGCAUAUGUGUGUGAGAAAUGCCCUAGCGCCUUCGUUUCUGUUAUAUUGGAAUAGCUUGCCUUCAACCUCAAGAACAUUUAACCACAAAGGGGCAUUCCGACAAUCAGGAGGCACACUUUCCAAGAUACAGCUCCGGUUUUCUUGGUUACUGAACAACAAACUCCUUUUUGGGGCUGCUCAAGGUCCCGUGAUAGAUCUUAGGGCUGUGUGUCAGCUAAAAAGAUUGAAGCUUUGUAGUGAAAGCUUUCAGCUUUUACAAACAGGAGGAAAGCUUGAUCUAGCUUUUAGAACCCUUUCUCCCAGCUCCAUCAGGCACUGCUCAUCUUUUACUGAACAGUACCCCCUCUCAUUUUGAAGAGGAGGAUCCUAGACCCUGAGCCAAGAGCCUUUACCAGUUUUCCUUCUUUCAACAGCUCGCUCAGAGCAGCUGGUUUGCACACAUCUUUGUUCUUUCCCCAGGGUGGAGAGCAGAGCAGGGACGCCUUGGGGUGGAGGGAUGCUAUCUAGGUUGUCAAUGCCAAGAGUUAAAAAAAAAGCAGGAAAAAAUAGAGUAGGUGGAUUUUAUUUUCACGGCUAUCCAAAGCGACAAAUCUCGGUUUUAAAGUGGGGGCACUGGAAAUAUUCUAGAAAGGAAAAAAAAAGUGGAAGAAAGCUUGGUAUAUGGCAGGUUAAAGCCCGUGGGUCGGCCAAGACUGGUCAGACAGUAGCUAGCGGCCUGGAAUGACCAACAGCUGUAGCAAUUGCAGAGCACCUCACUCUCCGCCUAUGGGAGACCAGCCUGAGGCCUGUGUAUGUGAUCAGAUGCUCUGACAUUUCUUUGUUCUCUCCCACAUCUCCCUGCAAGGAGCCCCACCCUCUCCCAGUAAGGAACCCCACCCUCUUAGCGGUAAGGACUGUCCUGGAAGCUGGAAGAACCCUGCCUUGCAAGGGUAGGUGUAAGUUGGGGUUAAUGAAGAGUAAGAUGUGAACUCUGCCUCCUGUCUUAGCCUCAUGGGACAUUUGUUUUAAGUAUUAACGAGCUCUGUCACCUGGUUCACACUUAGUGAAGGAAAAUAAGACCUGCUCCCAAAGUCCUCCAAAGAAUACACUUGGAUCAGAUACUAGAUUUCAAAGGUUUACUGAGUGGCCUCAGAGAAGCUUCCAGACUCUGACUAGCAUGCAGUAGAACUGCUAAUAAGUCAAAGGCAGCAACUAUUACUUCCUAAAUUCACUUUUUGCAUUCACCACCUUAGUUAAUCUAAUGACAGGGUAUUCUGACCCCCUUGUGUGCUGCAACACCCUAUUUUGUUAAGUUUGUCUCACUUUUGGCCAUAGUCUGUGUAUUCCUUAAUCUCUCUGGGACCCUUUCAGAGACCCUCCACAGUCAAAAUUUUUGUAUAAUAAUCUCAUGAUGCAAAAGGUGAACAAGACUGCCCAUCACUGAUCAAGACAACAUAGCCAAUUGGGUGAGGUGGUAUGUGGAUGGAAGGACUCCCAGUGUCCAGGAGUAGAGGCAAGAGGAUCAGAAGUUCAAGGUCAUCUUCAGCUACACAGCCAGUUUGAUGUGAGCCUGUGCUACAGGAGACCUUGUUACAACAAAACAAAUUACGGCACCAAAUCACAAAGGUCCUUGAGGGGGCUGUGGACACAACCCUGUAACUCCAGUUCUAGGUGAUCCAAUACCCUUGUUGGGCCUGCUUGGCCACUGCAUGCAUGUGGUACUCAGACAUAUAUGCAGACAAAAUGCAUACACAUACAAAAUAAAAGUAAAUCUUUUAAAAAGA